GGGGUGCGCAAUAGACUAACUUCCUCGUGGUGCACCCUGGGCAACGUAUACUUAUACGGCAAAAAGGUCUAU
rfam:Hymenolepis nana genome assembly, scaffold: HNAJ_contig0000879